GACGUAGGGGGCCAGCGUUGUUCGGAAUUACUGGGUGUAAAGGGUUCGUAGGCGGUGCGGCAAGUUGGGAGUGAAAUCUCUGGGCUUAACCCAGAGGCUGCUUCCAAAACUGCUGUGCUUGAGUGUGGGAGAGGCGCGUGGAAUUGCAGGUGUAGCGGUGAAAUGCGUAGAUAUCUGGAGGAACACCGGUGGCGAAGGCGGCAUCCUGGACCGGCAUGACGCUGAGGCGCGAAAGCCAGGGGGAAGCAAACGGGG
rnacentral:rRNA from 1 species